GGUAAUUAUUUCCUCCUUUUUUUCCUCAACAACUCCGCCCAUAUCCCCCAAAUUAAUCAAAAAACCCUCAAAAUCUCUCAAUCCAAUGUUAUCCCAAAACACGUACACCAGAUUCAGCAAAGAGGAUGCAAAGAAUCACGAACAAAUAGGCCAUCACUGCAACUGCCCGCUACUCCAUCGGCGAGUUCUAGCGAUCGAUUUAACACUAUAUAUAUAUAUAGAGCAAAACUCAACGAAAAAUCACAAAACAAUUUGGUUUUCUUGUUGUAUGCAACUUAUAAUUUGUGUGCUUUAUGGUGAAUCUGUAUCAACGAUAAUAGUUGGGUGUCAACGCUAAUAGCUGGGUUCUUUUAUUUGAUGUGCUUAUACUUGAUUUGUAGGUUCUGUCAAUGCAGCUUAUACGAUUUGGUCUUCUUGCUGUGCUUUCUCGUCAAGCUAAUGAAGCUAUGGUUGCUGGACCUAUUCAAUAUCGAUGGAUGUAUCCAGUGGAGCGAUGGCUAUACUUUUUGAAAUCUUUAGUUGGCAAUAGGGCUUGCCCAGAAGGUUCUAUCGCGGAGGGAUAUUUGACAACUAAAUGUUUGACUCUAUGUUCAAGGUACUUGCAUACAAUGGAAACAAAGUUUGAUCGCCUUGAGCGGAAUUAUGCUGGUGGUGUUAUUGAAUCUGAUAGAGGUUUAAUAAUUUUUUCUCAACCUAGAAAAGAAUUAAGAGAUGGAAAAUUGGACAAACUUAAUCCAGAUGAAUUAGAGCAAGUACAUAUUAUAUUUUGAAGAACUGUGAUGAAAUUCAACUAUUUCUCGAAGAGUUUUCAGAAAUUCCAGGUGAUACCUCUCAAAAACAUUCAGAUAGGAAGUUCAUUAAUUGGUUAAAGAAAAGGUUGUAGAAUUGUACAAAUGUGAUAACAGUAAGAAAAUGGAAGAAUUGCUCACUUUGUCACGUGGUCCCCUGCCGUAUGUGAAAUAUCUCAAAGGUUACAUUAUUAAUGGAUAUAGGUUUCAUGUGGAAGACUAUGACAGGGGUUUGAGAACUCAAAAUUGCGGGGUGGUUGUAGUUGGUGAGACAGAUUAAGAGAAUAAAAAUAUUGAUUAUUAUGGAGAACUCACUGAGAUUCUUGAAUUAUAAUUUAUUGGAGGAAAAAGAGUGAUCUUAUUUAGAUGUAUGUGGUUUGAUGUGUAUGACCAAGAAAAGGGAGUUAAAAUGGAUGUAUAUGGCUUUGUAAGUGUUAAUCCUCAGCGAUUAUUGAAAACUAAUGAGCCAUUUGUAUUAGCAAACCAAGCAUUACAAGUAUUUUAUGUCGAUGAUCUUUCAAAUAAAGGUUGGCAUGUUGUAAGAAAAGUUUUGCCUCGUGAUACUUUUGACAUUUUGCAAGAAAAAGAUGAUGAUUUGGAGAAUUAGAGAAGUCUAUACAAAUGAAAAGGAAAAGAACUCAUGAAGGUUUUUAACCUUUAUAGUGGUUGCUGUUAAUAUUUAUUUCAUUCGGCCUCUUGCUUCUUGCUUUUCUAGGCAUAACUCGUUUACAGUAUGUCAAAAUUUGGCUAAUAAAUUGAGAAAAGAAGUUUUCUGAUUUGUUUUUAUGCAUCACUUUUACUUGGUAUGCAUUUUCAAUAUUUGGCUUGUAAUAUGAGUGUUGUUUGUAUGCCCUUUCUGAAAGUUUUCCUUAGGAUUUUGAUCUUUCGCUGACUUGUUGACUGCAUAAUGAGAGCUUUAUUCUGUAUGUAUUCUGUACUAGCAAUUUUAAUGUUGAUUCUCUGAAGAAUCUUAUUGCUGUAGAGACAUGUCUUCAUUCUAACUUUAUAGUUUCUGUUUCUUUGCCUUCCUCUAUCUCACCUACAUCUUCAUAUAUUCUUUGUUACUUUUCUCUCUGAAAUGAAAAGAAUUUGUUGCAUGUUGUUUUUUAGAAAUUGGUCUAAGCUUGUAGGUCGCACCUCCAAGAUUCUGGACAACUCCGGUGAGCAUUGCUUGCGUUUCCAUGGUCUUGCUUUAUUGCUAUCAACAGUUGUUUUGAAUGUAUUUUUAGCUAAAUUUUGGUGCAUGUUAGUAAUUGUACCUGAUUUACAUUAAUAAUUGUACCCGAUUUACACACUCAUUGUCACUUUGAUGAAUUUUUUCUUAAGGUAUCAAAAGUGAUUGUAAUUUUGAAGUGAACUUUGCACUCAUGUGUUUGAUGAUAUGUCUAAGUCAUCUUCUUUGGAGUAUUCUGUUGUCCUCCUCCUAUUUGGGGUACAAUAGUGAAAUCUCUAGGGGCGAGCAAGGACUCUUUUAGAAGAAAGUAUUAUCUUUCUUUGAGCAUUCUGGGGCCAAUUUAUGGACUUGAGUAACCAUCUGAUUGCUACCAUCUUCCACACACUAAAGAUAUAGGGUAUGAUUGUUAGUUACAUGUUAUUGAUUUUAUUUUUUUGUUUGGUAGGUUGUUCUACCUUAUCCCUUUGAAAUUGCAGAACAGUAAGAGUACACGAAUAAUCCAGUGUAGUAUUAAUGGCCGCUUUGCCACUAUCCCUUUUUUGUUCUUAUAGACUUAAUUACUCACCUGAGAAAAUCUGAACAUCUUGAUAUUGAAAAAACAAUAAAAAUUACUGAUGAUAUAAUAGACUCCCAUCGACCUUUUUGUUUUUUCUUUUGGAAUUGGAAUUCUACAAGCUAGAAUUUGUUUUGAUUUCUUAUGCAUUGCACUUAGAAAUAUACUUUCUCUGUGAAAAAUAUUCCUCCUUGUUAUUCAUUUGAAGGAAUCCAUUGCAGGCGAAGGUCUUUCUUCAUGAUUCUAUUAUAAAUUUCUUCAUCUUAAAGUCAGUGAUUCAUUUGCUUUGAUUUUGAUUCUUCCAGACCUAUUUCCAAGCCAAAAGAGGAAGAAUUUACCUCCUUUUCGCUUAAGAGUUGAUGGAAAAUGUGGUUCUAUCAAAUUUCUUUUACAAGUUUAUUUAAUUGAGAGAUUUAUUGUAUUCUAUCAUAUUUAGCUCUUGGAUUGUAUUCAUGUACAAUGACCGAACAUAUACAUAUGGCUAUAAUAGCAUAAAGAUAAGCUUAGCUUAAAUAGCUAGUGACCAUACGAGAUAUAGCCUACAUUCCGAGUUUCUUCACCUUGUACGUUGUGAAAAUUGCCUUUUCCCCUCUCCUAUGUGUUAUUUUGAGCUUAAAUUCGUCUGCUCCUCAUAUCUCAAGGAUGUAGUUGAGGUUUCUUAAAAUAGUUCUGUAGAUUUUAUCUUUUGCUAACUCAGGAGUAUAAAAAUAAUUUUGCUUUUAACAAAUUAUGGCAACUUUUAGUGGCCUUUUUUGUGUUUCCAGAGCAUUUUUUUCUUUGUUGUAGUGACAUGUAUUUUAAAUGUAUUUGUGUCGCGCCAUCAACAUAGUAGACGUACAGUUUAAAUAGAAAUGAGAGUUUGGGUGUACAAGCAUGGGUAGUUUUGAAUUGUCAAUUCAGAUUAAAUUCAUACUUUAGUCUUAGGAUGUAAUGUCAACGGCUGUAAAACAUGUAUCUUUCCCCUUUACUCAAUAAACAAAGAAGUAGUUUUAUCAAUACACCUCAUUUAAAUCCUAAACCAGAUAGCAUUCGAAUGUCAAUUUCUAUUAUAUAGAAAAAGCAACCUUAAAAGUAGCUUGCUAUCAGGUCUCUAUCCGGUCUAGAUGACAAAUAGACAGUCGAAAUUCAUCAGCUGAAGCUCGGUAAGCUUUUUCUAUUAGCUUUUGUGUUGCUAAUUCUAUUUAUUCAUAGAAAAACGAUUUCCAGUAUCAGGCUAAGAAUUUCUAUGUGUUCCACAAGAAGACAUCACUCAGUGAGGCUCCACCUUUUUUACCUUCUCUGGUUGAUAUGAAUCCAUCAAAGUCUGAAAUGGGAGCAACUUCAAAGAAUGUACAUCGUGCAUAUAUUCAACCUGAUGCUUUAGCAAGGAGAAGAGAACAUAACUUUGGAUCUUUGGGAUCUGUAAAAACAAGUAUUGAAAAGAGAACUCUUAUUGGCAAAAGUAAAAAUCACAACUCAACAGCUUUUGAGCAGAAUAAGCUUGCACAUACUAAUAAUCUUGUGCCCCCUAGUUUCGCUUUGAUGGAAGACGAUGCUCCCCUUUCUCAAGACGCUGAAGCGAAGCUGUUGCGGAAGCCAAAUGUAUAUAGUUUGAAUGAGUCACAACUACUAUACCAAAAAUUAUGAAAGCCACCAACUAA